CCUACGGGAGGCAGCAGUGAGGAAUAUUGGUCAAUGGACGCAAGUCUGAACCAGCCAAGUAGCGUGCAGGAUGACGGCCCUCCGCGUUGUAAACUGCUUUUAGUUGGGGAUAAAAGGGGGCUCGUGAGCCUCGUAUUGUAUGUACCAUCAGAAAACGGACCGGCUAAUCCCGUGCCAGCCGCCGCGGUAAUACGGAAGGUCCGGGCGUUAUCCGGUUUUUUUGGGUUUAAAGGGGGGGUAGGCGGGAUUUAAAGUCAGCGGUAAAAGUCCGGGGCUCCACCGCGGAGUGCCGUUGAAACUGGAGGUCUUGAGAGGACGCGAGGUAUGCGGAAUGCGUAGUGUAGCGGUGAAAUGCUUAGAUAUCACGAAGAACUCCGAUUGCGAAGGCAGCAUACCGGCGGCCAACUGACGCUGAGGCACGAAAGCGUGGGUAUCGAACAGGAUUAGAUACCCGGGUAGUC
rnacentral:rRNA from 1 species